CUUCUCUACCUCCGUAAAGAUGAUCUCUGAUGAACAGACAUGAUCAUGCCUGGAGAACAGGGAUGGACAGUCCCGCUUCUGAAAGACCCUGUCUGGCUGAUGAUUCAUGGUGCGCCGGGCAGACCCCAGGCCAAGAGACCCCACCCACAGUACCUGAGUGCUCAGCUGGGAACCAGACCAGACCUCAAAACAGGUUCCCAAGGUUACCACCCAACCCUGCCAACUUUCGCACCCCGCAAGGAGCAAGACCCCGCCCGCUCACCACCUGCCUGUGCAGCCAACGGGCCUCGCUGAGCUGCCCUGGGCCGCUCCCUCCAUUCACACAGUUGGCCCUCCCUCUCCCUGCCUCCCUUCGCCUACCCCACGAACUACUUCAUCCCUCUGGGCCGGCACUGUAGAAGCCCCAUUGUUCACAUCGACCUCCCAAUUAUCUCCUCUUUCCCUCUCCCUCUGCUCCUGCCCAGACCAGCCCCCCAGCAUUGACCUGGAUGCCUGCCACAGCCUCCUCCCUGGUCUCCGGCCUCCCACCUCUGCUCCUCGGUCUCCUCUACCCAGCCAGUAACUGCAGAGAGCACUAAAGCACAGUCCUGGCAUCUCACCCCCUUAACCCUGGCCACGGCUUCCCAGUGCCUCCAAGAUAAAGCACCAACACCUGAGGACAGCAGGUGGAUGUGAUUGCAAACAACAAAGCCUGAACUCAGAUGGGGAAAGAAUCAGUGGGGAUCAUAUUGUGUCAUGUCCAAGAGGUUCACAGAUCAAAUUCAGGCAUGGCUGGAUCCAGGCGUUCACAGCGUGCCAACAGAGAUCUUGCUGUCUCCA
rnacentral:lncRNA from 1 species